GUGAGGAAUAUUGGACAAUGGGUGCAAGCCUGAUCCAGCCAUCCCGCGUGCAGGAAGACGGCCCUAUGGGUUGUAAACUGCUUUUAUACAGGAAUAAAUCUAGACACGUGUGUUUAGUUGAAGGUACUGUAGGAAUAAGCAUCGGCUAACUCCGUGCCAGCAGCCGCGGUAAUACGGAGGAUGCAAGCGUUAUCCGGAUUCAUUGGGUUUAAAGGGUCCGUAGGCGGGCUGAUAAGUCAGUGGUGAAAGCCGGCAGCUUAACUGUCGAACUGCCAUUGAUACUGUUAGUCUUGAGUGAAUUUGAAGUUGCCGGAAUAUGUAGUGUAGCGGUGAAAUGCAUAGAUAUUACAUAGAACACCUAUUGCGAAGGCAGGUAACUAAGAUUUAACUGACGCUGAUGGACGAAAGCGUGGGGAGCGAACAGGAUUAGAUACCCGAGUAGUCC
rnacentral:rRNA from 1 species